GAUCAAGUGUCUUAAGGGCAAUUGGUGGAUGCCU
rnacentral:rRNA from 24 species